rnacentral:misc_RNA from 1 species
CCACUAUUGUCCGAAUUGGAUCAAGAGAUCGCUCUGAUACAUACAUCAUCGCAACUUUUCGCUAACGUCACGUGCGGUGAUUCGUGUCACGGCCUUCGAGGCGACAGUUUGUCGCGUGAAUUUUACGUUCGGUAGCGUUCACGUCGUUCGAAUUCGUCUGUUCGAAGGCGGGAGACGGGUCCCCCGACUCGGAAGGAACCGAGAGCCCACGUGGCCCGUCCAUAUCUGACAGUGGCUGUCCGUCAGUGUACGAGGAUUGACAUUCGUCAGGCGCCGUCGUUCAUUCGCCGAUCAUUCUGCUUCGGAGGACGAUAUCGUCAGCUGUGAACAGGUCGUAGCUACCGACCAGCUGUUGGGAGAUUCAGUUUUGGACGAGUAAACGAGCGAUAGUGAUCCCUACGAUAUCGAAGUUUUUCUGCGAGGUGACAAUCGUCGUGUGAUGCGCCGGAGAUAAACUGAAUGGACGGAAUGGCUCGUUACGGCAGCGAGAGAUCCUUGCAUUCCCUGCACCCCGGUCACUCAACUCAUGCUGCCGCCUCGACGUCUCCCACAACGCCUACGACAACGUGUGCUAUCACCCUGACCAAGGUCGCUGCCGCUACCAGUGCUAUCCACGUGCCAAGUGUCGGAUCACCUGGCAGUCCUAUAGCCGCGACCUCGCCGCCGUCUUCGCUGGACUCCCGUAUACCGAGGCCAUCGCCGUCGGCUCUGCGACGUGCCGCCAGCUUGCGCGUGCGCGGCGAACGGAUACUACCACCACAUCAUCCGCGAGCCACCACCGCCGCGGCCCUGAUCGGCCACCAACAGCAUCACCGUCGUCACAACCACCUCCUGCAAUCGUCGCAGCAGCAUCAGCAUCCGGAUCAUUGUAUCUUCCCGGUCAUCACGGAGAAUGGAACCGACUCGCCGCGACAACGAUCCCUCAGUCUCUCACUGACACCGGUGAGGCCGCGGCCAAGUCACGCGGCCUCUGGAGGAACGACGACAGGAAUUGCCGAUGAUAGCGAUGCCGAGAGUGUGAAGAGUUAUAGUAGCGCUUGCAGCACGGCGAGCGCCUGCGAGCACGCCUCCUUCGCGUUGAAUGGCACCACUUGGUCCGGUCGAUCGCGGAAAUAUGUUGUGCACUGCUCAAAUAACGUCGGCGACAAUGAACAGUAUCUCACGCCUACUCAAAGAGCGGCUAGACAAGUCAGGAAGUUUCAGGCUCUAUUGAAAGAGGCGCGUAAAGAGAUCGAGGAGAAGGACCGAGAGCUCUUGCGAUUGACGAAGGAAGUUGUAGAAUUAAGGCUGUACAAGGCUUCUCUGAACAGUCCGGAUGAGCGAACAGAUAGCAGCGACGCUCUCACUGUACGUGAGAACAAUCCCUUCUCACCAGAAUCACCGAGCAAAGAUCUUCCGGAUGAGAGUAUCGCGGAGAAAUCUGUCACCAGUCCGGAAACGCCGGAGAAGCGUUUACACACAGAUCUUCCCCCGUCAUUGGCUGAUUCCGGUCACUUCGAAGAUGGUUCCGUCCAUUCGAAAGACUCUGUGUGUCUGCCUGAGCCACAGCCGGAGAUUGUUAUCAGUACGCCUAAUGGGGUACCAUCCAGCGAUAUUGUUUCCGAGGCAAUCUCUGUAACUCCUAUAACGAGCAUCGAACGAGACGAGGAGAGACGUCGAUUGGUUAGUCAUUACGAGAAUAGAAUUGAAGAUAUGCAUAGGCGGCACGUUGACGAGUUGCAGGAUGUCAAGCAAAAGCACAAUGACAAGGUGGAGAGUUUGCUCAAUCAAUUAUCUGAGGUCAACACACGUUACUGCGAGGUGCGGCCAGCCGUAGAUAUUGCGGAGGCUCGUGUACGUGAAUUAGAAACUGAAUUGGAGGCUGUGAAGACUGAGCUUAAUGAACAGAAAGCGCUUUUAAGCGAACAAGAGGAAAGAAAUAAGCAAAUGUACCUGAAAAUGUAUGCCAAAGGUCAAGAAGCCGCGCGCAUGGAACAAGCUGAUCAGAUAUUCGUGCAGGCACAUCAAUCACCGCCUAAAGUUACCGUCGCGGAACUCCUUCAACAACUAACCGUUACACAAGCUGAAUUAGAAAAUAUUAAGAGACACAUCGUUUAUUCAUUUUUUUUACAUUAUCACACACUUGUAAGGCGUACGUACAUCACAUUUCGAGCAUUCUCGUAGUUCACGAUACUCUUGUACUAACGAUGUGCCACUUUUUUUGGUCGCCGCUCACACUCCAGGACACAAGCUACUCGCCUGAACCUCACAUUUCAGCCGAACAUAGCCAAAGUUUAUUAAGCGCUCAAGAGGCUGUUUCUCUCUGGGUCCUUGGCACACGUAAGAUCGGGCGAUAUUAUCCAGUACACUUGGAAGAAACAGCCUCUUAUAACUUCGGUCAAU